rnacentral:rRNA from 1 species
CCUACGGGAGGCUGCAGUGGGGAAUAUUGCACAAUGGGGGAAACCCUGAUGCAGCGACGCCGCGUGAGUGAAGAAGGCCUUCGGUAUGUAAAGCCCUAUUAGUAGGGAAGAAAAUGACGGUACCUGACUACUAAGCCCCGGCUAACUCCGUGCCAGCAGCCGCGGUAAUACGUAGGGGGCAAGCGUUAUUCGGAAUUACUGGGGGUAACGGGAGCGUAGACGGGUAUGCAAGUCUGAUGUGAAAUCCUAUGGCUUAACCCUAGGACUGCAUUUGAAACUGUUAAUCUAGAGUGUGGGAGAGGUAAGUGGAAUUCCUGGUGUAGCGGUGAAAUGCGUAGAGAUCAAGAGGAACACCGAUUGCGAAGGCGACUUGCUGGACUGUAACUGACGCUGAGGCGCGAAAGCGUGGGGAGCAAACAGGAUUAGAUACCCUUGUAGUC